UUGAACGCUGGCGGCAUGCCUUACACAUGCAAGUCGAACGGCAGCACGGGAGCAAUCCUGGUGGCGAGUGGCGAACGGGUGAGUAAUAUAUCGGAACGUGCCAGUCGUGGGGAUAACGUAGCGAAAGCUACGCUAAUACCGCAUACGAUCUAAGGAUGAAAGCGGGGGAUCGCAAGACCUCGCGCGAUUGGAGCGGCCGAUAUCAGAUUAGGUAGUUGGUGAGGUAAAGGCUCACCAAGCCGACGAUCUGUAGCUGGUCUGAGAGGACGACCAGCCACACUGGGACUGAGACACGGCCCAGACUCCUACGGGAGGCAGCAGUGGGGAAUUUUGGACAAUGGACGCAAGUCUGAUCCAGCCAUUCCGCGUGCAGGAUGAAGGCCCUCGGGUUGUAAACUGCUUUUGUACGGAACGAAAAGGUUUGUCUUAAUACGAUGAGCUCAUGACGGUACCGUAAGAAUAAGCACCGGCUAACUACGUG
rnacentral:rRNA from 1 species